UACGGAGGGGGCUAGCGUUGUUCGGAAUUACUGGGCGUAAAGCGCACGUAGGCGGCUUGGUAAGUUCGAGGUGAAAGCCUGGAGCUCAACUCCAGAAUUGCCUUUAAGACUGCCGAGCUAGCAGGUGAGAGAGGUGAGUGGAAUUCCGAGUGUAGAGGUGAAAUUCGUAGAUAUUCGGAAGAACACCAGUGGCGAAGGCGGCUCACUGGCUCAUACUGGACGCUGAGGUGCGAAAGCGUGGGGAGCAAACAGG
rnacentral:rRNA from 1 species